GACGAACGCUGGCGGCGUGCUUAACACAUGCAAGUCGAACGGAAAGGCCCUGCUUUUGUGGGGUGCUCGAGUGGCGAAAGGGUGAGUAACACGUGAGUAACCUGCCCUUGACUUUGGGAUAACUUCAGGAAACUGGGGCUAAUACCGGAUAGGAGCUCCUGCUGAAUGGUGGGGGUUGGAAAGUUUCGGCGGUUGGGGAUGGACUCGCGGCUUAUCAGCUUGUUGGUGGGGUAGUGGCUUACCAAGGCUUUGACGGGUAGCCGGCCUGAGAGGGUGACCGGCCACAUUGGGACUGGGAAACGGCCCAGACUCCUACGGGAGGCAGCAGUGGGGAAUAUUGCACAAUGGGCGGAAGCCUGAUGCAGCAACGCCGCGUGCGGGAUGACGGCCUUCGGGUUGUAAUCCGCUUUCGCCUGUGACGAAGCGUGAGUGACGGUAAUGGGUAAAGAAGCACCGGCUAACUACGUG
rnacentral:rRNA from 1 species